GGAGUAGGUUGGGCAAUCGCGGGGUGUUUUUAAAACACUCGGAGGAAAGUCCGGGCACUACAGAGCAGGAUGCCAGCUAACAGCUGGACAGUGUGAACUGAUGGCAAGUGCAGCAGAGAGAAGACCGCCUUGAUUAUUUAAUAAUUGAGGUAAGGGUGAAAGGGUGCGGUAAGAGCGCACCGCAUAACUGGCAACAGCUUAUGGCAAGGUAAACCCCAUCCAGUGCAAGACCAAAUAGGGAAAUAGGUUUUUAUUUAUUUAAAAACAAGGUGUUGCUCGCACCUUAUUUCCGGGUAGGUUGCUUGAGGAGUGCAGCGAUGUAUCUUCCAGAUGAAUGAUUGUCACCAGCAAUGGUACAGAACCCGGCUUACAAACCUACUCCUCCU
rnacentral:RNase_P_RNA from 1 species